UACGAAGGGGACUAGCGUUGUUCGGAAUUACUGGGCGUAAAGCGCACGUAGGCGGAUUUGUUAGUCAGGGGUGAAAUCCCGGGGCUCAACCUCGGAACUGCCUUUGAUACUGCAAGUCUCGAGUCCGAUAGAGGUGGGUGGAAUUCCUAGUGUAGAGGUGAAAUUCGUAGAUAUUAGGAAGAACACCGGUGGCGAAGGCGGCCCACUGGAUCGGUUCUGACGCUGAGGCACGAAAGCGUGGGGAGCAAACAGG
rnacentral:rRNA from 1 species